rnacentral:misc_RNA from 1 species
AAUCAGUUCCGGCAUUCAAUCAGUUCCGUCACACUUCCUGAAAUUAAGCUUGGUACGGUGUGAGUAUGUUCAGAAACUCUAUUUUUUCUAUCGGGUCAUGUAAAGUAAACAUUUCCUCGCCAAACGCUCGCAUGUUUACAAAACAUGCAUGGAAUCUGGGUCAACAAGCACUUGCAGUUUCAAAACGAGGUUUUGGAUGCUGCGUUUUUUCUACGUUGAUUUCGAGGAGCCUAAAAGUUGGAGAGGGAUUUGGUGUGUUCUAAGAAUAUAAAUACCAAAAGAUAUUGAUAGCCAACGAGAUGCACCAUGGGUAAAACACGAAAGAAACCAGAGAAAUCUGCACAGUCCAGUCCUGCAGUCAAGACUGCAAAGUCUUUGAAGCGGAAAUAUGGUACUGGAAGCCUGUCUCCAGGAAAAUGUCACAGAGUCAGACGAGCUUUGCUGGUGAAGUAGCUUUGGACAGCAGAAAUGGCCCACAACCUGUCUUCAGUAAGCAUGAGGAAGAGGCUAUGGCAGAAUGGCUCAAAGAAAUGGCUCAGAGGGGAAUGGGGCUAAAGCCAGGCGAAUUUGUGGACUUUAUUCAAAACGUUGUAAAGAAGGAGAAAAGAAAUACUCCAUUUGUAAAUGACAGGCCAUCAUACACUUGGUAUCAGAAAUUCAUGGAGAGGAAUGGACACAUAGUUGAAAUUAAAAAUGAAACCCCCUUAGAGUCAAGCUUAGCAUCAUGGCUAGUAAAGCUGGAAAGGUCAUAGGUCCUGCUAGAAAUAACCAAAAUACACCAGUGCCAUAUGUUUCGGGGGCAAGUAAGCGAAGAUUAACAGUAAUGUUUUGUGGUUGUGCAGAUGGAACCAUGAUACCACCAUUCAUGGUGUUUCCAGAGCCCAAACCCCGUGGCUACAAUGUAUUGACUGGAGGCAUAGUUGGUAGUGAUGUGGCAUUCACAAAAAAAAGGUUUAAUUUAUGAGGUGUUUUUGAAUCACUUCAGCAAACAUGCAUCAAAAGACAGACCAGUGGUAUUGUUAAUUGACAGUGUUAGCAGCCACAAAAGUAUGACUGCUUUUGAAAGUGCCAAAAGAGAUGGAAUUCUUCUAUACCGGAUAAUACCAAAUGCUACGCACCUAAUGCAACACUUGGAUAAAGGUGUCUUUGGGCCCUUGAAACAGAAAUGGUAUGCUGUUACUAGAGUUCAUUCCAGAGAACAUCCUGGUGUUCCAAUAGGCAAGGACUCAUUUGCUGAAAAGUUGAAGGAAGCCUACCUGUUAUUUUACAAACCUUUAAUACUCAUCAACAGCUUCAUAUCAUCUGGGAUAUAUCCAGUCAAUAGCACAGUAAUUAAGGAUUCAGACCUGAAACAUGGAUUAACCUACUCACACAGUGAUGAUGAAACUGGAGACAGCCAGAAAGCAAAGGCGACUGUGUGUUCUAAGGAGCAGCUUGAAGCACAGGGUGCUCUGCGUGCAUUAGAAACAGUACAACACCUACAAGACAGAAAUACCAGAAACGUAUCGAAGAAGGAUACAAUGUUUUGAUGCAUACAAAAAGCUUAGGACAGCUAGUGAGGGUCUGGCUAUGCCAUUAGCACCAGAAAUAAGAGUGACUGAAGCCAGCGGUAGUCAAACCGGAGUCCACCCUUCAUCAGCAUUGGGCAUGUUAGCCAGUGUUGCAAUACAACAAGACGACAAACAACAACAGGUAGUGUCUCAUGAUAUUCAAGCAGGAGUCAUCUCCCGUAUCACCUGUGCUUCUGAAGCCAAUGGCGUUGCCUAAAUCUGCUAAAUCAAAAAAGAAAUGCAACCAAAGCGUCUCGUACAUACCCUUACACAUCAUCUUACCUCCGCUGAAAGUGUUCGAACAAUGGUUUUACGUGAACUCUCAAAAAUUAAAACCCUUGCAGAAAAGGAAAAGAAAGCAAAACAUAAAUUUAUGACUUCCACUCAAGAAAAAUCACCAAAAGGUCAAAGGAAAAAGAAAAAUAAAGCUGUAAAGCAGAGUAGGUCUGAUACAACACAGGGUACUCAACCUAAUGAAGAGGAUGAUGAAGAAAAUGUUACAUGCCUAGGUUGUGGAGGUUCAUGGAAAGAGGACCAGGAGCUUGGACUGGGAAGAACAUGGGUGAAUUGUGACUACCGCAAGAAGUGGCUUCACACCGACUGUUGUUCACAGGAGAUAAAUAUUGAAAGUGAAGAGCCUUUCUGCUGUCCAGAAUGUAACAACUGAACAAGAACCAUCUGUAACAGAGCAGGAAGUGUUUGUAAAUCAUGCAGUAAUUAAAGGCUACCAUGUCUUCAAAAUAAAACCCCCACAAGUAAAUCAGCCUUUACUAACAGUUGAUAGAGAAUAUGGAAACAUUCAUGAUCAUGAUGCAUGCUUAGUUUGGCUUCCAAAUUUAAACUGUUAUCCACAAGAUCUUCAUGAAAUGCAGACAGAUGAAACACGUCACCUGAAGUUAAGUGACGUAGCAGGGCUCCCAAUAGGUCAUCUACCAAGGGGUUUGGGCGGAUGUUUUCGCAAAAUUCUUGAUCAGAAUAACUACAUCUUUGUGAAGAUAACAGCAGAACCAACACAAAAUUUCCCUCCUUGGCCGGCACCCAGUGAGAAAGGUGGUGGUGCGGUAAUACCUUGUACAUAUGUGAUCAAAACAAAACAUGUUGAUGAAACUGUUCCAGGUCUAAAAAGUGCUAUACAGAGUAUGGAAGAACGUUCAGUUUUGCAUGUAACAGUUAAUGAUUGAACAAGUCAUUUACAGUGCCCUAGACAUGUUUUCAAAAGGUGAUAUUGUACUAGUAAUUAUGCAAAUGCUAUAUAGAAUGCAUGUAUGUACCAUUGUUUUGAUACUUUUCCUUCCCUUGGUAGUUAAUAAUACUGUAUUCAAAUAUUUUUGCGUAUCAGUUAUUGAAUUAUAAAAGUUACAGGGGAGAAAAUGUUCAUUUUUUUUUAAAUUGUCCCCAGAAUUUUUGGGGAGGACUGUAUCUAUUUCUGUCAACAUUUUAAAUAGUAGUGUUUACCAUUCCAGUAAUUGUUGAACAAAUCAGGUUAGAAUGUUAUGCGCUUAUAUUUUUAUUUUUUAUACAUUUUAUUCAUAUGCAGAGGUACUGCUGUUUUUGUACAUAAAGUUAUAUAUUUUAUCUCAUUUUAUGAUCUCUUUUCAUAAUACCAUAAUAUGCCGUAAUAUAUUUUUCUGCUAAAUAAAUGUGAUUGAUAUUUAAAGAUCAGGAAACUUGACUGUCUUUGCUCAUUACCUGUACUGUUUUUCUUGUUGUUGUUUUUUGUUUGUUUUAAGUCAACAUGCAAUUGAUAUGUUAAAUAUUAAAGUUGAUAUGUUAAAUAUAAAAGUUAUAAAAUCAUUA